CCAACCCAUGGCAAGGCUCCUGCUCCUCCUGCCCGACCGCCCGCACUGGCGCUCAGCAUGGCAAAGGUCUAAGCCGCAUCUUUUGUUUGUUUUGAAAGUAAUCAUCAGUACAGAUAAAAUUUUAUUCGAUGGACGUAUGGUUGAUAUCGUAUGGUUGAUAUAGCCUGUUCAACAAAACAAAAGAGAAGAAGAAGAAGAAGAUAAAAUUUUGUUUUCUAUCCGCCCAGAAAAUUGCGAAACAUGAAUUACGGCUGUGAAGAAAUAGGAAACACAAUGGUAGUUUUUUACGAGAAAUCGCAGCGGUAAUAUUGAGUUUUUCGCUAAUAGUUGCAGCCUCCGUUCGAAUCCAAAGCCUCAUCACUAUGGCAGACUG